GGAGUGCCUUCUUUUGGUUUAGAGUUUUGGGGGCUCCAUAUUAGAAGCAUAUGUAGCUGUUCCAGCUUCAGCUGCCUCAAGUCUGCCUGGGCCUCCUGCAUGAGGUCAUGAGUCUUAAUAAAGCCACUGACCCACACAUUUGGAAUUGUACUGACUUUUCACAGCUAACAGCCAACACAUUGCCAAGAAGCAAUUCAGUUGUUGGGGAUAUCACAUCAUGCCAGGGAAAGAGAAAUGGAAUUCAGAAAGCCUGGGAUAUUGCAGUUCAGAUAAAUUGCACUUGGCCAAAGCAAAUGUCCUAAGGGCAUUGCAGCUGCAGCUGGAGAAUGAAGAAGACAUACAAUUAGGGCUUUUGUCACUGUCGCUUGAUUUCAUUAAAGGGCAUUAGUUCUCUGCGAGAUGUAUGGGGUCGGAGAGGACAGGAGCCAGCAGCUCCCAGUGCAGCAGCAAGGCCGGCCCAGGUGACCACCUGGAGCAUCGUUUCUGCUGCCACACUCAUGGGCUGCACCGUGCUGCCCCACCCCACCGUGCCCUGCUCAGCUGUGCCCUGCUCCAUCUCCCUCGCCAGGCCUGAGACCGGCCCCCAGUGUAUUGUGACUCCUGAGGUCUCUCAGCUGUCCCUCAGCUCCCAGGAGAAUUGCUCUCCGCUGCAGAAGCCACCUGACGGGGAGGCUGACCCCGCUCCAGGACUGACUGAUAAAGGUUUAUUCUGACAGUAACUUCUCCCCAGGUCAGAAG